GAGUGGUGUACAUGGGAACAUUUAUGCCACGUACAGAUUCCAUUGUGACCAGCAUGUAAAGCAAGUAUGAAAGUGCCAGAGGAAGGGUGUGAAACAAUGUCUUAAAAGGUACAAAGCUUGCUGGGUUAUUAUUAAUUCUAUUGGAUUCAGCAGUUCUAAAAGAUAUGAUCUUCCACCGUCUCAUCGCAUAGAGAAACGAACAUGAACAAAGACUCUGAAAAAGUGUUAUAACAUUUGCAUGCGGGAAAUUGUAAGAAGAAAGCGCUGCUUUGUUGAACAUCACCAAGAGAACUGCACUAGCCAUGUAACAAAUGGCAGCAUAAGCUCCUUUCCUGGUCAUGACAGAGUCAUUUUGCAGCUUCUCUGGCUUGCUGGAGGGAUCAGUGACAGGUAGAGUCUUGUUCUUCUCUAAAUCCAUUGCUGAGAGUGCUUCCGUUAAUUUGAGAAUGGGAGAGAGAGGACAGAGACUAUGAAGGGAAGAGCAGUUUUAUGUAAG
rnacentral:misc_RNA from 1 species